rnacentral:tRNA from 1 species
CUGGCGUUAGUAUAAUGGAUAAUACAGGGGAUUUCUACUCCCUAGAUAGCAGUUCGAUUCUGUUACGCCGGACCA